rnacentral:rRNA from 1 species
UACGGGGGGAGCAAGCGUUGUUCGGAUUUACUGGGCGUAAAGGGCGCGUAGGCGGUCGUGACAAGUCACUUGUGAAAUCUCCGGGCUUAACUCGGAACGGGCAAGUGAUACUGUCGGACUAGAGUACAGAAGGGGCAACUGGAAUUCUCGGUGUAGCGGUGAAAUGCGUAGAUAUCGAGAGGAACACCUGCGGCGAAGGCGGGUUGCUGGGCUGAUACUGACGCUGAGGCACGAAGGCCAGGGGAGCAAACGGG